AUUGAACGCUGGCGGCAGGCCUAACACAUGCAAGUCGAACGGUAACAGAAAGCAGCUUGCUGCUUUGCUGACGAGUGGCGGACGGGUGAGUAAUGUCUGGGAAACUGCCUGAUGGAGGGGGAUAACUACUGGAAACGGUAGCUAAUACCGCAUAACGUCGCAAGACCAAAGAGGGGGACCUUCGGGCCUCUUGCCAUCGGAUGUGCCCAGAUGGGAUUAGCUAGUAGGUGGGGUAAAGGCUCACCUAGGCGACGAUCCCUAGCUGGUCUGAGAGGAUGACCAGCCACACUGGAACUGAGACACGGUCCAGACUCCUACGGGAGGCAGCAGCGGGGAAUAUUGCACAAUGGGCGCAAGCCUGAUGCAGCCAUGCCGCGUGUAUGAAGAAGGCCUUCGGGUUGUAAAGUACUUUCAGCGGGGAGGAAGGGAGUAAAGUUAAUACCUUUGCUCAUUGACGUUACCCGCAGAAGAAGCACCGGCUAACUCCGUG
rnacentral:rRNA from 1 species